rnacentral:misc_RNA from 1 species
CUGCGCGGGUGAUGCGUGGGCACUCAGUGAAUAAAGAAACAGACAGGGACACACGCGCGCACGUGUGACGGGUCAAGAGAAAAGGCGCCACCCCACUCAUCUAUGCGUUACAUCUCAGUCUCUAGCACACGCAUUACUGCCACCACUAUCAUCUCCCCUUCUCCCUCCCGUCUGGCACACAUCUGGUCAGCUGCUUUCAACGGAGGUCACGACGAAAGGAAAGAGAAGCCCAGAGUCGCCGUACAAAACAGUUGAUACGACAAGGGUGCCAAGAAGCCGUUGCUCCCGCGCUUCCGCAUUCUCCCCUCCCCCUCUCCCCUCCCCCUCGCACGUCGCAUCCCCUUCACGAUAUUCUCAUCCUCGAAAACGGCUCACGGAGACAAAGCAGCUGACUGACCACCCGUGCGCCGUCUCGUUGCCUGUCGCUCUUGCCUUUCUUUGUCUCUUCACAGGACCGUAGCGCAACAACACGGACACAGCCCACCUCACCGUCGGCGGUGCGACCUUGUAGAGCACAGACGCACCCAAGGUGCCCGCCCGUAUCCUUUUUCUGUUCCGUUCGUGCCCUCUCCUCUUGCCGUCGCCCGUCCCCCUCCCCGAUUCUUUCUUGUGCUCUGUACCCCUCCCCUUCCCCCUGUGCUACUCCCGCCCACCUUGCCUUGGGGUCUCUCUUCUGCUUCUCUUUUCCAUUGUCCCACUUCCUCGAAUAUUCAGCUGCCACACUGUCGUGGUAGCCGUCCCUCCUUUCUUCCGCCUCCGAUGUUUCGCCCUCAGAGGGCGCUCCUCUCGAGGUUCGCGCGGGCGCUGUGAUUGGCGGCUUCGUCUGCUUUUACGCUGACCUCUCUCCCUCGCUUUGCACGCCAUGUCACAUGCGCCAGUGCUGCUCGACAUCGGCAGCGGCGCCUACGCCCAUCAGGCGGAGGUGGAUGAGGUGAAGGAGCGCAUGGGAAUUCACCACAACUACUUUGACUGCUGGAUCUUCGGCUUUCUGGAGAACAAGAACUUCAACGUCGAUGAGACCGUAGCGAAACUGCGGCGCCGCGCUGACUUCGAGCGUGAGCAGCUGGCGGCCUACAACGUCACAGACUGGAUGAUGGAGAAUAUGCGCAAAGGCAUCAUUCAGAUGAUCGGCAACGACAAGGCAGGCCGAGUCACCUUCUACGUGUGCACAGCGCGCGACAAGCCAGUGGCGGCUCGGCGCGAAGAGAGUCGAAUGAACUUCGACAUGUUUAUUAGCUACGGCACGCGGCUUCGACCGGAAACCAAGCGGUGCCAGAUCACCAUGCUCAUCAACCAGGACAAGGCGAGCAUGAUUAGCAACCUUGACAUGACCCUUCAGGCCGACAUCGCGCUUCGCAUUGCCAAGUUCUACCCCGGAUGCGUGGACAAGAUCUAUAUCUGCAAGAUGGGCCGCCUGCUCGCCGCCAUGGCAAAGCCGAUCUUCUCUCGGCUGCCGGCCAUCGUGUCCGAUCGCAUCAUCAUCAUCUCCGACGGCGACAUCCGCCACGGAAAGCUGCUGGACCUCUUCGAUGCGGAAGUGCUGCCGGUCGAGCUGGGCGGCAAGAAUGACUGCAAUCAGCAGGGCAACUACGACCGCUUUGCCACCACCAUCCGCGACUACUUUGAGCAGCUCAAGGCGGCCAUUCUGCGGGGUGAGGGGGUGAAGGAGUGGGAGCUAAACUGCCUCCGCAGCGCCGGCUACAUCGAGGAGGCAUCCCGCAUUGAUGCUCUGAAGCGCAGCAUCAUCGAGCCGUCUAUCUCCCUGCGCGAUCAGCUUUCCAUCGCACCGCAUGAGACAGGCAGAUAUUCGCCGCCGGGAACGAACGGCACCGCCACGGCGCAAUGCUUCACCCCUCGCUCACCUGCCUACUACGCGCUCGACGUUGACGACGACGCCAAUCUCAUCACAUGCGGGACGGACAGUAUAGAGAUGGAUGGCCUCUAUUCGCCAGGCUUGAUACAGCGGAACAGCCUCACCAUGUCGCGCUCGCCGUUGCGCAACCUCUUCACUGACUACGUCAACCAAUUCACCACACUCGAGUCUUUCUUCCGCAUCAGCCUCACGGAGAUGCACGAGCGUCAGUGGCUGCAGAUUGUGCAGUGGGAGAUGCAGGAGCGGCGCACCCUUCUGCUGGAAAACGGUCUCAUUCAAGGCGACAAGCUGCUGGCGGGGCUGCCGUCGUCGGUGCUGCUGGUGGCGAAAGGGUUUCUGUGGCUGUGUCUCAUGGUCACCUCCUUCUACUUCCUCCUUGGCACCUGCUUCAUCGCGCUGCUCGGUGUCGUCACGCUAAUCAACAUUUUCUUUGCCAUUCUUGUGUAUCCCUACCACGUGUUUCUCUACGGCACCGCCUUCAUCGUCGUGGCAUCUCAAUUUGUCAUCUUCUGCUCCCGCGGCUUCGACGUGGCUCGCAGCACGUUCCAGGGGCGCGUCGUGCAGGCGUUCAGGGCAUUUGGCGCCAAGGCGCUUGCCUUUCAGCUGGUCAUCUACGUGGGCUGCACCAUCGCCUAUUUUGUUCUCUUCUGCACCAUGGCCGCCCGCUAUGACGUCUUGACCGGACUGCAGUACAGCCUGGCAUACGGCUGGAUCGUUGCCGUGUGCCUCAUCUUCAUCUACCAUGUCCUAUUCGCCUUUGGCUUGCGGAGGCUGCGCAAGCGCUCGUACGCGCACGGCAGCCGGCAGAACCACGCUGAAACGACGCUCUACCUCUUCAUGGAGGUGGAGAUGGAUGACGAGCAAAUGGAGCAGCGCUUCCCGCCGGCGGAGGUGAUGCUGCUCACGAUGGUGGCGGUGCUGUCGGUGGCCAUGGGCGUCGCUUUUGUCACCGGCGGCGGCUUCUUCUUUUUGUGCGCCGCCAUCGUGGCGCAGUCGGUGCUGCUGCUACUCUGCGCCACCUUCACGAUUGCCCGCAACGUGAGCUCCUCGUCCGACAUCAUCAUCUGCGGCGUCUUCUACGCGACCGUCUUCUGGAUGAGCACCCUCUUCACCAUGUCGCAGCACGGCUGGAGUGGCCACUGGGGAAGCUCGCUACUGGCCUCUCUCUUCGUCAUGCUGUUCUUCGUCUUCACCGGGCUAGUGAGUGUGUACGGGCGGUGGAAGGGUGCGGUGCGCCGGUGGCUCUUCCGCAUCUCGUGGCUGCUGCUACUGCUUCACCUAAUUAGCUGUGUGGCGGUGCUGAUGGUUUCAAACUACCGCUUCGGCCUAUUUGUGCUGGCGCUGGCGGUGCACCUGCUGCUGUGCAUCGUGCGCACCAACGAGGCGUCAAACAAAUACGGCGUCUUCACCAUAUCCGCGUGCUUCACAUUGGUGCUGCUCGCCUGCUGUAUUAUUGGUCGCACUAGCGCCAACGACGUUUACGAGGGAUCCGUCAGCGACGUUUUCUUGCCGAACUACGCAAAUCGCUCCAGCACUCCCGCCGCCGCGGGCCGGCUGAUGCUCGCGAACCUGGCGGAGCCCCCGACGCGUACGAGUAGCAUGAGCAGGGGGAGCUCCGUAAGUGCACAAGGCGACACGUCGUACGCGAUGCCACCCCUGUGCCUGACGCAGUUCAGCCCGACAGUCGACGUGGUCGGCAUGGCGCUCUUCACAAAGCUGGGGCUCAACAGGGAUGUGGCCGGGCAGGACGCCGACCUCGCUCGCUGGUUCCCGUCUUUCAAGCGCGUGCCCAUCUCAGAGGAGGUCGACUCCGCCGCCAUGAGCUUUGACGUGUUCCGCGAGGAGACGGCCACCGUCAACACCACCAUCGUGACAGCGCGGCCCGGCAGCGACCUCAUUCUUCUGAUAGAGUCCAUGGCGAUGUGGAUCGACACGUACGCCUUGUCGUUCUUCUCGUUCCUCAUGCCAGCGCCAUACAUUGAUCGCGUAUUGCCUUACCUGGCAUUUGUGCAGGGGAUGGUGCCGUCGAGGUGGGAGGCGUCCAUCGACAAAACCACAUCUGUCGUGCGCGCGUUACUGACGAAGCUUCGCGGCGAUCACGAAAAAGUUUUCGUCGUCGGGCACGGUCCCGUUGGCAGCAGGGCCGCGGUGAUUGGCCUGCGGGCCCAGGAUAACGUGCACAGCAUCGUCUUCUCUGGUCCCCCAGUUAUCCUCUCCAAGUUCAACUUGAACGUCACUGCAAGGGUUAUGGCGCGGCGCAUGCUCUCCGUGCAGACGAUGCAAACCGUCUUCUCCACCUGGUAUCUGCGCACCGCUUCCGUGCAGAUUAUCCCCUGCAGCCUUGGCGGCAUCCAGUGUGACCGCAUAGACGCCACCAUUGAGGAGCUGCGGCACCUCUGCAGUGGGUGACGGGAUAAGGAAGGAAGGAUCCGGUGGCAGGAGGUACGCGGGCGGCGCGCAAACGGCGUGCUUUGCUGACGUGGUGUUUCGUCUCGUUUAGUGCUCUUACGUCUCCCUGCGUCUGCACUGCCUUCUCGCUCCGCCCUUCGCCCUGGCCCCUCUACGGGCACGCUGGCGGUGCCCGUCUUCCGCUCUCCUGGAGGGGGGGGCGAACAGAGAGAGGGAGGGCCCGUGGAAGGCGAGCGGCGCCGUCUGUAUCAUUGCCUCUCUAUGCACACUUUUUUAUCGCUUCGUUCUUGCAGGGCCUCUCGUAGAGUACUUCGCGACUGAGAAGCGUGCUCCAGUCGAUGGGGUGUCGCGUGGACUGUUGCACCCCGCUGCACCACUCCUCGUCCCGAUGCGGGAAAGCGUUCUUCCCGGUGUCUGGGCCCUGAAGGGGCAGGGCAGGACAGGGCAGGAGGUGGCUCGCCUCCUUGGGUAAACAGCGCGAGUUUUCGACUCGGUCCAUAUGAUGCAGAUGACUCAGCCGCAGACGGUAUCCUCUCUUUUUUCUCUCUCCACGGGUUCGUUACCCCUCUGUUUCCCACCUCCCCCCCCCCUUUCGUCAACACAUCGCGCCGUCGCGGAG